GCACAUCCUGACUUUCGCAAGCUGCCCCUUGCGCGGCCAGCCGUGGCCUUGGAAAUUCAGGUGUAUGAACACUUUAUUUUUGCUCGUCCUCCAUCAUGUUUAAAAUUUGUGGGAGGGACUGCUUAAAUAUGGCCACCGUCGCAUAUGAAUCUAGUUGAUCUUGUUAAUGGUAAUAUUACUACUGGACGGUCCCGAUCUAUGGACGAUCAAAACCUUUACAGCCGACUCUAGUGAUAAUAGCCUUGCUUCUACGUGCCGGCGUCAGUGUUAGCCAGUGGCAGCUAGUGGCAGCUAGUGGCAGCAAAAUUAAGUAGAAGCAAG
rnacentral:lncRNA from 1 species